rnacentral:rRNA from 1 species
GACGAACGCUGGCGGCGUGCUUAACACAUGCAAGUCGAACGGAAAGGCCCUGCUUUUGUGGGGUGCUCGAGUGGCGAACGGGUGAGUAACACGUGAGUAACCUGCCCUUGACUUUGGGAUAACUUCAGGAAACUGGGGCUAAUACCGGGUAGGAGCUCCUGCUGCAUGGUGGGGGUUGGAAAGUUUCGGCGGUUGGGGAUGGACUCGCGGCUUAUCAGCUUGUUGGUGGGGUAGUGGCUUACCAAGGCUUUGACGGGUAGCCGGCCUGAGAGGGUGACCGGCCACAUUGGGACUGAGAUACGGCCCAGACUCCUACGGGAGGCAGCAGUGGGGAAUAUUGCGCAAUGGGCGGAAGCCUGAUGCAGCAACGCCGCGUGCGGGAUGACGGCCUUCGGGUUGUAAACCGCUUUCGCCUGUGACGAAGCGUGAGUGACGGUAAUGGGUAAAGAAGCACCGGCUAACUACGUG